rnacentral:rRNA from 1 species
GUGGCGAACGGGUGAGUAACACGUGAGCAAUCUGCCCUUGACUCUGGGAUAACUGCGGGAAACUGUAGCUAAUACCGGAUACUUUCCUCGCUGGGCAUCCGGCGGGGAAGAAAGAAUUUCGGUCAAGGAUGAGCUCGCGGCCUAUCAGCUAGUUGGUGAGGUAAAGGCUCACCAAGGCGACGACGGGUAGCCGGCCUGAGAGGGUGACCGGCCACACUGGAACUGAGACACGGUCCAGACUCCUACGGGAGGCAGCAGUGGGGAAUAUUGCACAAUGGGCGAAAGCCUGAUGCAGCAACGCCGCGUGAGGGAUGAAGGCCUUCGGGUUGUAAACCUCUUUUAGCAGGGAAGAAGCGAAAGUGACGGUACCUGCAGAAAAAGCACCGGCUAACUACGUGCCAGCAGCCGCGGUAAUACGUAGGGUGCAAGCGUUGUCCGGAAUUAUUGGGCGUAAAGAGCUCGUAGGCGGUUUGUCACGUCUGCUGUGAAAAUCCGAGGCUCAACCUCGGACUUGCAGUGGGUACGGGCAGGCUAGAGUGCGGUAGGGGAGAAGGGAAUUCCUGGUGUAGCGGUGGAAUGCGCAGAUAUCAGGAGGAACACCAAUGGCGAAGGCACUUCUCUGGGCCGUAACUGACGCUGAGGAGCGAAAGCGUGGGGAGCGAACAGGAUUAGAUACCCUGGUAGUCCAC